AGAGGGAAGCCCAUCAGCGGGGCUGUGAGCUUAGCUCAUCAUGUCACUUUGUACCACGUCCCUUGGGAAGGUCUGAGACUAGGGCCAUCCUUGAACUUCAAGGAGGUGCGUCCCCAGAGAGCAGGACUGUGCUAGGACAGAGUGGGCAGGAGAUGCCGGGUAACCUGCCCUCUGGGAGAGGCCUGUCAGAUGCCUCCUUAGCUGGAGAUUGAAAAAUGAGGAACGUUUAUUUCAUGUACUUACUGGCUAUUUGAUCUGUAUUUCUUCUUUAGUGAAGUGUCCAUUCAUGAUAUUUGCUCAUUUUUCAACUGGAUCUUUUAUUUUU
rnacentral:RNase_P_RNA from 1 species